rnacentral:lncRNA from 1 species
AGAGUAGGUUUAGGCAUUCGGGUCAGUAUCGGUUUCUUUUGGAUCUAGGUUCUUAAGGUCCUAAACGUUUGGACAUAACUAUGUAUUUGAAAUUUUAGUUCAUGUUCAGUUCGGUUUUUCGGGUUCAAUUCGGGGUGGAUCCAUAAUUCAAAUACUUAUAAUUUGUAAUAGUAAAACCUAUAUAAAAUAUCCAAAUAUACCUAAUAUAUACAAAAAAAUUCAGGUACUUUGGAUAUCCGAUCGGGUUUCGAGUAGGACCU